rnacentral:lncRNA from 1 species
ACAGGCGCUGGUUAGAGGCUGUUGGUGCUGGGUCUCUAUCCGCAGCAGGGGGGUUUUUUUUGUUUGUUUUGCUUUUCCCUCAAGCUGUGUCCUUUGUUUCCUGUUGGCCUUUGCUGUGCUUCAGCCCUGUAGGAACCGGCACUGCGGAAGGAGGCAAGGGUGUGGAAGCGAGGAGGCGGGUGGAGUGUAAAGGGAAACAACCCGGGAUUUGGAGCCCCAAACACGUUGGCAUGCGGGGGAUGCUCAGUAAAACUCCAGACCGGCCUUUCCGACUGCCUGCCGGUCAUUUAUUUCUAUCCUGCGGCACUUCAAACUUAAUAUGGCCAAACGGGAUUCAUCCUCUUUUCCAAACUCUGCGCUGGUUCCUCAAGUGCCCCCGACUGAUCGCACAGUUUUGUAAACUGCAUAUCACAAGCUCAACAUCCUCGCAGAGCUUGAAGAGCUGGUUAGUGGGAGAGAAUCCACACUGGCACAGCCUGGAGUUGUCUGCAUGUUGUCUUUGCAAGGAAGUUAUGUGGCCCUGAGAUGAAAACAUUUGAGAAUCAGGAAUUCUAGGCAGGAUGAUAAGAAUUGGAUUCAUACCAUUGGCAAGUGCCAUUGAUGGUAUGAAAAAUUUGCGAAAGAAUACGUGUUUGUAGGGGGGAAAUGAACUCAUUUUAAAACACUUUCGUUUUUGAGAUUGGUAGGCAGCCUCAACAGGAUCUGUUCAGCAUCUAUCAGGUAGAGGCCUGAAGGGAGGGUGGCAGGUCAGGGCUUGGAAUUUGUAGUUCAUCCAUGCGGAGGUAGAAAUGAAAGCCUAGAGAAAACAAAGCCCACACAGCCUAAGGAGUGGUCUGAGAAGGACGA